UAAGAGAUCCGAGUCGCAGCGUAAAAAAAAUGAAAAGAGAAUCGCCCAAAAAGCUGACGGACGCUUUUUAAGAAAUGUGAAUGCAGGGUGUGCUGCCGUACUUGCAGGAAAAUUACCAAGGUCAGCGCACGCCAAAACGAAAACGAGACCAAUUUUGUGCUUCACUAGGACUUUUAUUUUAUCGAAGGUGAAAAGUACAAGAAGCCGGGAGGAAAGCUGUACUCAAAGUACAAAACAAGCGACAUCGACAUUUUCGACACUGCUCUUUUGCAUUUAUAUCCUCUAAAUAAUGAUAAAACUCUUGCUGGUAUAAAAUAUGUAUAAGCUUUUUAAGACACAUUGUUCUAAUGUAAGUCAAAAAAUACAAUACAAAAUUUUAUAUAUUAAGAACUGAA